ACAUCAUGAAGCUACUACCAAUUUUAAUCGGCCUGAUAGCCUUAGUCUGCAUCUCAAGACCUGCCACAGCAGAACCGGGACGUGGUAAUUCUCGUAUGGGAAAACGUAGGGGCUGAAGAUGGAUGGAAGGGGUCAAUAUUUUAAAUAACCAUGAAACUCAUAAAAUAUAAUAAUUAACAUCAGAACUUAUAAAUAAUUUUAAAAAUAACCUCUGAAUAUUCAUUACCGGAAAUUUUUGUUCAAAUAUUGUCAUGCAGAAUUCUAAAUCUUCUCUUUUUUCAAAACGAAGUAAUAAAAAUCACUUAUUUCCACAAAAAAAUUCAUUUUAUUUCGAAAUAUCACAAAAUGAAGUUCUACGCCAUUUUAGGCAGUUUUAUAGCAUUGGUGCUGUUCACGGAUACCACAACAGCCGAGCCGAGUCUCGUGAGGGGAUGGAAAUGUACCAGGGCACGUUAGCAGGAUUUAUGAAGAAAAAAAAUUAAAAAUUAAAAGAAAAUUUAAAAAGUGUUAUUGAAA
rnacentral:sRNA from 1 species